rnacentral:rRNA from 1 species
UACGGAGGGUGCAAGCGUUAUCCGGAUUUAUUGGGCGUAAAGGGUGUGUAGGCGGUUCCGUAAGUCGGGUGUGAAAUUUCGGAGCUUAACUCCGAAACUGCAUUCGAUACUGCGGUGCUUGAGGACUGGAGAGGAGACUGGAAUUCAUGGUGUAGCAGUGAAAUGCGUAGAGAUCAUGAGGAAGACCAGUGGCGAAGGCGGGUCUCUGGACAGUUCCUGACACUGAGACACGAAGGCCAGGGGAGCAAACGGG